rnacentral:rRNA from 1 species
UGCGCAGGCGGCCAAGUGUGUGAGGCGUGAAAGCCCGGAGCUCAACUCCGGAAUUGCACCUCAAACUACAUGGCUAGAGCAUUGGAGAGGGUAGCAGAAUUCACGGUGUAGCAGUGAAAUGCGUAGAUAUCGUGAGGAAUACCAGAGGCGAAGGCGGCUACCUGGACAAUUGCUGACGCUCAGGCACGAAAGCGUGGGGAGCAAAAGGGAUUAGAUACCCCUGUAGUCCACGCCCUAAACGGUGCACACUAGGUCUUGGAGGAUUCGACCCCUUCAGGGCCCAAGCUAACGCGUUAAGUGUGCCGCCUGAGGACUACGGCCGCAAGGCUAAA